rnacentral:rRNA from 1 species
GACGAACGCUGGCGGCGUGCUUAACACAUGCCAGUCGAACGGAAAGGCCCUGCUUUUUUGGGGUGCUCGAGUGGCGGACGGGUGAGUACCAAGUGAGUAAUCUGCCCUUGACAUUGGGAUUACUUCAGGGAACUGGGGCUUAUACCCGAUAGGUGCUCCCGUUGCAUGGUGUGGGUUGGCAUGUUUCGGUGGUUGGGGAUGGACCCGCGGCUGAUCAGCUUGUUGGUGGGGUGGUGGCUUACCAAGGCUUUGACGGGGAGCCGGACUGGGAGUGUGAGCGGGCACAGUGGGACUGAGAUACGGCCCAGACCCAGACGGGAGGCAGCAGUGGGGAAGAUUGAACAAGGAGCGGAGGCCUGAUGCAGCAACGCCGCGUGCGGGAUAACGGCCUUCGGGUUGUAAACCGCUUUCGCCUGGGACGAAGCGUGAGUGACGGUAAUGUGUAAAGAAGCACCGGCUAACUACGUG